GCCCGGUUAGCUCAGUUGUUAGAGCAUCAGACUUUUAAUCUGAGGGCCAUGGGUUCGAGUCCCAUAUCGGGCU
rnacentral:tRNA from 1 species